GACGAACGCUGGCGGCGUGCCUAAUACAUGCAAGUAGAACGCUGAAGGAGGGGCUUGCUUCUCUGGAUGAGUUGCGAACGGGUGAGUAACGCGUAGGUAACCUGCCUGGUAGCGGGGGAUAACUAUUGGAAACGAUAGCUAAUACCGCAUAACAGUAGAUAUCGCAUGAUAUCUACUUGAAAGGUGCAAUUGCAUCACUACCAGAUGGACCUGCGUUGUAUUAGCUAGUUGGUGAGGUAACGGCUCACCAAGGCGACGAUACAUAGCCGACCUGAGAGGGUGAUCGGCCACACUGGGACUGAGACACGGCCCAGACGCCUACGGGAGGCAGCAGUAGGGAAUCUUCGGCAAGGGACGGAAGUCUGACCGAGCAACGCCGCGUGAGUGAAGAAGGGUUUCGGAUCGUAAAGCUCUGUUGUAAGAGAGGAACGAGUGUGAGAGUGGAAAGUUCACACUGUGACGGUAGCUUACCAGAAAGGGACGGCUAACUACGUG
rnacentral:rRNA from 1 species